UACACACGCCCGUCACACCAUGGGAGUUGGCUUUACCUGAAGGCGGUGCGCGUAACCCGCAAGGGAGGCAGCCGACCACGGUAGGGUCAGCGACUGGGGUG
rnacentral:rRNA from 1 species